rnacentral:rRNA from 1 species
AUUGAACGCUGGCGGCAGGCCUAACACAUGCAAGUCGAGCGAGCGGCGGACGGGUGAGUAAUGUAUGGGGAACUGCCCGAUGGAGGGGGAUAACUACUGGAAACGGUAGCUAAUACCGCAUACUAUCGGAUGAGCCCAUAUGGGAUUAGCUAGUGGGUGGGGUAACGGCUCACCAAGGCAACGAUCCGUAGCUGGUUUGAGAGGACGACCAGCCACACUGUGACUGAGACACGGCCCAGACUCCUACGGGAGGCAGCAGUGGGGAAUGUUGGACAAUGGGGGAAAGCCUGAUCCAGCCAUCCCGCGUGUAUGAUGAAGGCCUUCGGGUUGUAAAGUACUUUCGGCAGAGAGGCGGUAUCUGCAGAAUAAGCACCGGCUAACUCCGUGCCAGCAGCCGCGGUAAUAC